GAAAGUUCAAAAGAAGAAGAGAAAGAAGAGGAAAAGGAAGGGGAGCAAGAGGAGGAGGAGGAAGAAGAGGCAGAGCACGAGGGUAAUGCACAUAGAAGCAAGAACAAAAGCUCGUCUAAUGUGGAUAAAGAUAUCAAGAGAAGGGGAGGUGGGUUUAGUAAGUUAUGUAGUCUUUCCCCACAGCUUCAGGAAUUUAUUGGAGAAUCUGAGCUGGCCAGAACUGAGGUUGUCAAGAAUUGUGGGC